rnacentral:rRNA from 1 species
AGUGAACGCUGGCGGUAGGCCUAACACAUGCAAGUCGAACGGCAGCACAGUAAGAGCUUGCUCUUACGGGUGGCGAGUGGCGGACGGGUGAGGAAUACAUCGGAAUCUACUUUUUCGUGGGGGUUAACGUAGGGAAACUUACGCUAAUACCGCAUACGACCUACGGGUGAAAGCAUGGGAUCUUCGGACCUUGCGCGAUUGAAUGAGCCGAUGUCGGAUUAGCUAGUUGGCGGGGUAAAGGCCCACCAAGGCGACGAUCCGUAGCUGGUCUGAGAGGAUGAUAAGCCACACUGGAACUGAGACACGGUCCAGACUCCUACGGAAGGCAGCAGUGGGGAAUAUUGGACAAUGGGCGGAAGCCUGAUCCAGCCAGACCGCGUGGGUGAAGAAGGCCUUCGGGUUGGAAAGCCCUUUUGUUGGGAAAGAAAAGCAGCAGGUUAAUACCACGCUGUUCUGACGGUACCCAAAGAAUAAGCACCGGCUAACUUCGUG